UACAGAGGGGGCAAGCGUUGUUCGGAAUUACUGGGCGUAAAGGGCGCGUAGGCGGCCUGCUAAGUCGAACGUGAAAUCCCUGGGCUCAACCCAGGAACUGCGUCCGAUACUGGUUGGCUUGAAUCCGGGCGAGGGAUGUGGAAUUCCAGGUGUAGCGGUGAAAUGCGUAGAUAUCUGGAGGAACACCGGUGGCGAAGGCGACAUCCUGGACCGGCAUUGACGCUGAGGCGCGAAAGCCAGGGGAGCAAACGGG
rnacentral:rRNA from 1 species